GGAUGUGAGGGUGAUCUGGCCGUGACAUGUCUCACCAAGAUUGUCAGGAUCUGACUGGCUAGACAGAUGUCCCCUCAACUUUUCAUGUGUGUCCCUCCCAAAGCUGCAUGCAUGGCCAAAGAGGGUGUGACCUCCCUGAAUACAGAUGGACGGGUCUCAGUUGAGGCUACACAAGAAGCUGUCCUCCUGCAACAAUCUCAAUGGCAACUGUGCCCUACACCUGGUAUGUCAGAAACAUAUCAAAACACUUCAUUCAUGGUGAUUUUUUAAAAAAUAUUUAUUAUUUAU
rnacentral:snRNA from 1 species